rnacentral:rRNA from 1 species
UACGAAGGGGGCUAGCGUUGUUCGGAUUUACUGGGCGUAAAGCGCACGUAGGCGGAUCGUUAAGUCGGGGGUGAAAUCCUGGAGCUCAACUCCAGAACUGCCUUCGAUACUGGCGAUCUUGAGUCCGGAAGAGGUGAGUGGAACUCCUAGUGUAGAGGUGGAAUUCGUAGAUAUUAGGAAGAACACCAGUGGCGAAGGCGGCGAUCUGGGAAGAUACUGACGCUGAGGUGCGAAAGCGUGGGGAGCAAACAGG